AUAUACAUAAUACUGAUAAGGGUUGUAUUGUGUUUUGAUUUCACUGUUUCUUUUGGUCAUAUUUUUGGGGUCAUAUUUGAUAGGGAGAGUCAGCCGUUGAGGUUACAAAUGAAGGUGUUGAUGCUGCAGGGCAUACAAUUGGUACAUCUUUGGAGGUCGUGUUCAAACUUAGGAAGGUUCUCAACCCCAAAAGUGUGAUCAAACCAACAUCACUAGCUAAAGAUUAUUUUGAAUCCACAACUAACUAGAUCGUCCAAUGCUUUGUAGGUACCACACCUUUGCUAUGACCAUGUCAGUCCUGAUGUCCUUAGAGGUACCACACCUUUGCCGUGUCAUACUAUGUUCAUGAGUAUGAUGAAACAGAAAGGAAAUGGUAGGAAGUUUGGUUUGCUGUGAUCGGUUCCAUGAGAUUUAGAAAGUGAUGCAGGGACGCCUUUGAUCAUGCUCAACAAGCUGCUAGAGUUUUCAAGAACAGAAGCAGCCUGCGGUCUACCCUAUUGGAAGCACCAUCCGUUCUUCAACCCAACUACGAGUGGAUGAGUGUCAUUGACUCGGGCCUGCUGGAACAUUGGAAUUGGCAGAGGGUGAAAAUGUUUGGUGACAACUGGUUCCUAGUGAUUCGGUUAAUCGAAGAUGAAGCAAACAAUGGAAAUUAAAAGACGCUUACGGUUAGUGGAUGAAAUUAUAUAGCUUGGUGAGAUGCGAUUAGAACUGUUUCGUCUCAUCAACAACACUCAAGAAGCCAUGGAUGCUGAAAGAAAGAGGAAAAUCGCAAUCUUGAUGUCAUUUAGAUAGUAACUAACAACUUUUUAUUCAUUUCAAUUGAUUCUGUUAGGUAUGUUGUUUUAUUUCCCCAAUGUUAUUUUGAAUCCAUCCAUCUGUUACUAUUGUUGUGUCAUGAUGAGUAGGAUCAAACUCCUUCAGGUAAAGUAACUAGAAAUAGAAUGGCAUUUAGUAUGUGUGGUUAACUAUGACUUCCUAACCGUAUCUUGUUCUUUUUCCUUUUUCACUUUACAAUUUAAAAAAAAAUCCACUUAUAAUAUUUUACACAUAGGCUGUGUUGCGUUGCUCAACAAGUUUUUAUUGAAUACAUCUUUUACAAAACUUUACUCUUGGAUUAAAAUUUUAAAUAUUUAGUAACUAUUAUGUUCAAUUUCAUCAUUUCUGUCCAGGAACUUUAUAGCAGGUUUGUCCAUAUGACAUUUGUUAUGUCAUGUGGCGUGUUGCUAAUAAUGCUACAAUGCAUAUUGAGACUUCUUAAAAUUCCAGGUUAAACUUUAUUAGUACAAAAACAAUGUGUGACAGCACAGUCUUAGUAGCACUGUUGCCAUUACGAAGAAUGAAAUCUAAUACCUUUAUGUAACUUUUUAUACAUAAGCACUUAAAAGACAAACUUUUUGGUAAAUAGGUUGUGAGAUGAAAAUUUGAUCUUAACUUAUCUAUGCAGGUUCUAGGUUGCUCAAUGUGGUUUGCUGAUUUUUUAUUUGUGGCAAGAAAUUGGGCUAAAGAUGAACAAACACGGAAGUGCUUAAGAGGUCAGCGGAAGACUUCUGCUUUUGCUUCUCCCAGAGUGACAGGGAAUUCUGGUGGAUCAGCCGAUAGGUUUUAAGAGUGAAAAAAACCAGAGAGUUUUAAGAGUGGAAAAAAAUGCAGAAUGAAUCACUCUAAGGAUUGCAGGGCUGUUAGUGCAUGUUUCGGAAAUUGGAGGUUUGCAAAUAUUUGUGGCUAACUAUGAAAGAAUACUCAUGGAGUGCUGACUGGAUUUGUACAGAAGAGUUUUAGGUUUUGAGUGUAGAAGCAAUGUGUACCUGCUUUUUCAUGCAUGUUGAUGUAUGGGAGCUUUUACUUGCUACAGGUGAAUUAGAGUUUUAGGGCCUAAGUAAGUUGUCACUUAACAAUCCCUGAGAGUGAGAAGGCUCUACACGAGUUUUACGGAUAUGCCUUGCAUCUUAUUGUAUUAUGUAUAGACACUAGGUUUUAUUCACCAUCUCAUCGAUGUACCCGGUUCUAUAGAGUAGCUUAGUUUUGCAGUAGUACAUUAGUUGCACUUAUAUUAACUGCACUGACCAAUAUGGGUUUUUUUGUCAUCAGGUCUAUUGCACAAUCCAAUUGGAAUUGGUUCUGGUUGUUAGUUUUACUUGAUUGUCAGAGUCUUUGCAGGCAGGUAGCACAACCUUGGUAUGCUCACAUCAUGAAUAUAUCAAAAUCAGUCUUAAAGUCAUUACAGGUACCGCAUCUUUGGUGUGUCAUGCUAUGCUCAUGAGUAUGAUGAAACAGAAAGGAAAUGCAACAUCUUAAAAGCAUGGUAGGAAGUUUACCUUUGAUUUGAGCUGCUGGCCAUGCUUAACAGUCCGGUCUUCAACCGUGCUGAGUGAAGGAGAUUCAUUGACAUGGGGGGCCUUCUGAAACAUUGGAAAUGGGCAGAGGCUGAAAACUUUGGGUGUCAGGCUGUGUUUGAAGUGGGGAGUCAUGCCUCAAAUAUAAAUUUUGGUGUCCUUAGUGAAAGUUGAAGCAAAACAUUGGAAAUUUGAGUUGUUCUUCAUAAUGCCUAUUAAGUUCACGAGAUCUUGCGAAAGAAAUGGGAGAAGGAAGGUAUGUACGCUCUUGUCAUGAAUAGAUCAAAAUGAGUCUUGUGGUCAUUUAAGGGAGAGCAGCAAUUGAGGUUACAAAUGAAGGUGUUGAUGCUGCAGGGCAUACAAUUGGUACAUCUUUGGAGGUCAUUUCCAACUUAGAGGAAGGUUCUCAACCCCAAGAGUACCACACCUUUAGCUAGUGAUGCUGGUUUCCUUUGCUGUGAUAAUGUCAGACUUGAGGCCCUUAGAGGGAUUUGUCAUCGUCUCAGUUUUAUUCGAUACAACAUCUUGCCCUCAUACACCUUCACAAAAUGGGGUAGCCAGACGUAAAAAUAUGCAUCUUGUAGUAACCGCUUGGACCUUACUUCUCUAUGGUAAUGUUCCAUUCUGGUUAUGGGGGAUAUUAUGCUAAUAUGGCAUGUUACCCUAUAAACCUCAUGCCCUCGUCUGUCCUUAACAACAAUAUCCCUCAUUUAAUUUUGUUGUUUCCUUAUUCCCCCUUCAC